rnacentral:lncRNA from 1 species
UAAAAAUAAACCUAAUAAUAAUUUUUUUUUUAAAUAAUUAACUGCUAAAGGAUAUCAUGCUGUCUAUUGAUAACAGUAUCAUUUUUUUAAUUUUCAAUUUUUUUGAGGCCAUUAAAAAAUUUUGCGAUUUUGAAUUCUUUUCUUUAGAUGUUGAUCUAAAUGUUAUCUCCUUGCCAAAUUUUAAGUUAAUACAUCUAGUGGUUAGAGCUGAGAAUUUCCAUUACUUAUACUAUCAAGCAGCACGUGCGCACGCACGCACACGCACACACACACACAUAUCUAUAUAUAUAUAUAUAUAUUACACCAACAGAA